GAUGAAGAACGUAGCGAAAUGCGAUAAGUAAUGUGAAUUGCAGAAUUCAGUGAAUCAUCGAAUCUUUGAACGCACCUUGCGCUCCUUGGUAUUCCGAGGAGCAUGCCUGUUUGAGUGUCAUUAAUAUAUCAACCUCUUCAGCUUAUGCUUGUUGAGUGUUGGAUGGUGGGGGUUUGCUGGUGUCUUAUGAAGUCAGCUCCUCUGAAAUGCAUUAGCGGAACAAUUUGUUGACCGUUCAUUGGUGUGAUAAAAAUAUCUACGCUAUUGACGUCAGUCAGUUCAGCUUCUAACAUUCCAUUGACUUGGACAAAUUUUUCAUUAAUGUGACCUCAAAUCAGGUAGGACUACCCGCUGAACUUAAGCAUAUCAAUAAGCGGAGGA
rnacentral:misc_RNA from 1 species